GUCUUCAUAGAAAGGAGAGAUGGUUGGCAUAUGCCCCAAUAGGGGAUGGAAAUGGCCUUCAAACUUACCUAUUACCACACAUACGGUCAAGAUAGUGUCGUCAGGUGUUUCAUCAUGUGUAAUGGGGUAGUGGCCUUUAUCACACAUAUCUAUAUAUUUUC
rfam:Vitis vinifera, whole genome shotgun sequence of line PN40024, chromosome 6, chr6